GAAUUCAAGCAUAUUAAUAAGCGGAGGAAAAGAAACUAACAAGGAUUCCCCUAGUAAUGGCGAAUGAAGCGGGAACAGCUCAAAUUUGAAAUCUCCGUCGCCUGCGACGGCGAAUUGUAGUUUCGAGAAGCGCUUUCUAGGCGGAGCCGGCGCCGUCCAAGUUGCUUGGAACAGCACGUCAUAGAGGGUGACAACCCCGUCUGUGGCGGAGCCGGCCGCCCACGAUGCGCUUUCGACGAGUGGGUUGCU
rnacentral:rRNA from 1 species